UCUUGCAUGGAGUAUUGCUGAUGCUGCUCACUGCCUCCAAGUAAGACCUCCAAGGUCUACCAGUGGGCACACAGGAUCUGAGAAGCAAUCUCUCAGCUGCUUCUUAAGCAAUAUAAGACUUUGUAUAGAAACACCCCAACACUCUUACAAGAAGGAGGAAAUGCAUGGAAAUAAGGUUCCCCAUCCCCUCAAUAUAGAUGUACAAGGGUGAAUUGAAUUCAGCAGGACUUACUUCUCACGAAACAUGCUUAGCGCAAAAAACAACAGAAGAAGCGGGAGAUGCAAAGGAGGAUUGCUGCGUUGCUGUCAAAAUGACCCGCGAAGAUCCAUGAGUGGCCAGUUGCGACCACGCAAUAAAAUGCUCGUCUGAAGAAGCUCUGUAAGAUAUUGAUUCAUCUAGCUCUAUAUUGUUAUUUCAGGCAGGAGUCUUUCCCAAUUCUUCUAUUUGGAAUCCUUUAAAUUCAGAUUCCAGGACUGAAUUUUGGACCUUACGUAUGAAAAGCAUAUAUUAUAUUACAGAGCUUGGGGCUCUUGCUAUAAAUAAUUGUCAUUAGAAACUGCCUUUAUACUGUGUCAGAACCAUUGGUGCAUCCAGAGCUCCAGAACUGUCUAGGGAUGCUUAUGAAAUCCCUCCCUCUAAUAGGAAACUCUGUUCUCCUGUGCCAACAAAAAUGGAACCAAAAUUGGCAAAGAAGUGGCAGAUAUCAGCAUGCCCGGGGAAACCCAAGGUUUGCACUGGUAUAACAGAUCUAAAACACACAUAUACAUCCAGACUGGGUAGAACUGAAAAGGAAGCCAAACCUCUAACAAACAAACAAAGUCCAGCCCAAUGAGUAUUGAGCAUGCUCGGUGGGCACAAGGAGAUCUAGAAUGUUGGGUGCAGAUUAGAAAGGAAAAAUGGAAAAUCAGGGGAGAGUAGGUUGGCCUGCUUGAGCUCCUUACAGAGUAUGGUACCCUAGAGGAAGGCAUAGCUGGCUAGCACAUUCCUAUUAAUCAAUGGGGAUACACUGCAACAUUUCGUUGCAGCUUGCCAAGGAGAGAACAGGUGAUAAAAGCUCCAUUUCACCUUAAUAAUAAUAUUACAUUAUUGUUGUUGCUAUUAUUAUUAUUAUUAUUAUUUCAGACCACCUACAUUAACUAGGUGUAUAUAAAUCAAAAUAAUCUACAUUAACUUGAUUGUACAUAAAUCAAGAUACAACACGGUACCAACAACACACGAGGAAAAGGGAGUCGGGGAGGGAGAUCAGGUGGUGAGGGAAAGUGAUAUUUCGGAGUGCUUUAGUAGUAGGAUUAACGCAAGUAUCAAAAAGACAGGAGUGGAUUAAAGAGGUUUUAUGAGAAAUGGCAAUACCGAUUAAGGGCAGAAGUUAAGGACAUAAGGUAACACCAUAUUUGAUGUCCAUCUUACACAUUCAUUUU